AUUGAACGCUGGCGGCAGGCCUAACACAUGCAAGUCGAACGGUAACAGGGAACAGCUUGCUGUUUCGCUGACGAGUGGCGGACGGGUGAGUAAUGUCUGGGAAACUGCCUGAUGGAGGGGGAUAACUACUGGAAACGGUAGCUAAUACCGCAUAACGUCGCAAGACCAAAGAGGGGGACCCUCGGGCCUCUUGCCAUCGGAUGUGCCCAGAUGGGAUUAGCUUGUUGAUGGGGUAACGGCUCACCAAGGCGACGAUCCCUAGCUGGUCUGAGAGGAUGACCAGCCACACUGGAACUGAGACACGGUCCAGACUCCUACGGGAGGCAGCAGUGGGGAAUAUUGCACAAUGGGCGCAAGCCUGAUGCAGCCAUGCCGCGUGUAUGAAGAAGGCCUUCGGGUUGUAAAGUACUUUCAGCGGGGAGGAAGGGAGUAAAGUUAAUACCUUUGCUCAUUGACGUUACCCGCAGAAGAAGCACCGGCUAACUCCGUG
rnacentral:rRNA from 1 species